rnacentral:rRNA from 1 species
GACGAACGCUGGCGGCGUGCUUAACACAUGCAAGUCGAACGGUGAUCUUGGGAGCUUGCUCCUGGGUGAUCAGUGGCGAACGGGUGAGUAACACGUGAGUAACCUGCCCCUGACUCUGGAAUAACUUCGGGAAACCGAAGCUAAUACCGGAUAUGACACAGAGCCGCAUGGUUUCUGUGUGGAAAGUUUUUUCGGUUGGGGAUGGACUCGCGGCCUAUCAGCUUGUUGGUGAGGUAAUGGCUCACCAAGGCGACGACGGGUAGCCGGCCUGGGAGGGCGACCGGCCACACUGGGACUGAGACACGGCCCAGACUCCUACGGGAGGCAGCAGUGGGGAAUAUUGCACAAUGGGCGAAAGCCUGAUGCAGCGACGCCGCGUGAGGGAUGAAGGCCUUCGGGUUGUAAACCUCUUUCAGUAGGGAAGAAGCGCAAGUGACGGUACCUACAGAAGAAGCACCGGCUAACUACGUGCCAGCCGCCGCCGUAAGAC